rnacentral:rRNA from 1 species
ACCAAGGAGUUCAGUAGGCACGCGAGUCGUUGACGUUUUUCAUUGAACAGUCGAAGGCGAAAUGAAAGUGUUCAUGAAAAUGAACAGUACUUUUCUAUGGAGUGCUGCUCGUUUUCAACAUGAUCGUCCUUUUUUGUGCUUAAUUGUGCAAAAUUGAUAGCACUGUUCUUUCUUUCUCUUCGGGGUUGGAGGAACAAUUGUCGAUCAGUCGGUUUCGGAGCGUGCACACUGGUACCCGAAAGAUGGUGAACUAUGCUUGAGCAGAAUGAAGCCAGAGGAAACUCUGGUGGAAGUUCGUAGCGGUGUUGACGUGCAAAUCACUCGUCUGACUUGAGUGUAGGGGCGAAAGACUAAUCGAACCAUCUAGUUGCUGGUUCCUUCCGAAGUUUCCCUCAGGAUAGCUGGCAUUUGUUUGUAACAAUUUUAUCCGGUAGAGCGAAUGAUUAGAGGUGUUGGGAACGCAAUGUUCUCAGCCUAUUCUCAAACUUCGAAUGGGUAAGCAAGGCGUUUUGCUUUGAUUUUACGAUGAAAUCGCCCAAUUAGAAUGCAUAAAUGCCUAGUGGGCCAAUUUUGGUAAGCAGAACUGGCGAUGUGGAAUGAACCAAAAGUCAGGUUAAGGUGCCAGACAUUGGCGCUCAUGAAAUACCAGAAAAGGUGUUGGUCGAUAUAGACAGCAGGACGGUGGCCAUGGAAGUUGGAAUCCGCCAAGGAGUGUGUAACAACUCACCUGCCGAAUCGACUAGCCCUGAAAAUGGAUAGCGUUUGAGCGCCAGGCCCAUACCUGACCGUCUCAAUUACGCACUUUUUUCUUUUUUGAAAAAGGUGUAAUGAACGUUGAGACGGGUAGGAAGGUCGCGACAGUGUUGCUUUGAAGAGUUUUGAGCGUGAGCUCGCUCGGAGCCGCUGUUGGUGCAGAUCUUGGUGGUAGUAGCAAAUAUUCAAGUGAGAACCUUGAAGGCUGAAGUGGAGCAAGGUUCCAUGUGAACAGCAGUUGGACAUGGGUCAGUCGAUCCUAAGAAAACGGCGAAAGCUUGUUCGAAUUUGCGACAUGAAUUGUAAGACUGUGUGUGUUUAUUGUGUGUGCGUGUGCAGUUGUCGUAUGUUUUCGAAAGGGAAUCCGGUUGAUAUUCCGGAACCGAGUAACGGAGACAAAGAGUAGCGCUUUAAUCUCUCUGUGGGGUUGGCGUUCAACUCAAUCGCGCGGUAACGCAAGCGAACUCGGAAAAUGACCGUCGUGAGUUUCGAAAAGAGUUUUCUUUUCUUUUUAAGGGACGCAUUCCCUGGAACCGGGUUGUCCGGAGAUAGGGAUUCUGGUAUCCAUAAAACGCCGACUUUUUCACGGUGUUCGGAGCGCUCUCGUCGGUACGUGAAAAUCCGAGCGACGCCUGGUAAAUCUCGUACUUGGUCGUACUGAUAUCCGCAGCAGGUCUCCAAGGUGAAUAGCCUCUGGCCGAUAGAAUAAUGUAGGUAAGGGAAGUCGGCAAAACGGAUCCGUAACUUCGGAACAAGGAUUGGCUCUAAGGGCUGGGCCGAUCGGGCUGAGGUUUCAAGCGUGCAGUGUAUGCUUGGCUGAGUUGUGUUGAGGACUUGUUCACUUGCCGCCGUUUGUUCGGUUGGUCUAGUGUAUUCGAGUCUGAAGCAGAGCUGGCCGACAGACCGGCACGUGCAGAACCUGAGCUGCGCGGCUGUCCGUUUACGUGUACAGACCGUUUCGGUCGGCAUAACAAAGCAUUGCGAUGGCCGAUGAUCGGUGAUGACGCAAUGUGAUUUCUGCCCAGUGCUCUGAAUGUCAAAGUGAAGAAAUUCAAUCAAGCGCGGGUAAACGGCGGGAGUAACUAUGACUCUCUUAAGGUAGCCAAAUGCCUCGUCAUCUAAUUAGUGACGCGUAUGAAUGGAUCAACAAGAUUCCUUCUGUCCCUAUCUACUAUCUAGCGAAACCACAGCCAAGGGAACGGGCUUGGCAAAAUCAGCGGGGAAAGAAGACCCUGUUGAGCUUGACUCUAGUCUGACUCUGUGAAGAGACAUGAAAGGUGUAGCAUAGGUGGGAGAUU